rnacentral:misc_RNA from 1 species
GAAAUGCGAUAAGUAAUGUGAAUUGCAGAAUUCAGUGAAUCAUCGAAUCUUUGAACGCACCUUGCGCUCCUUGGUAUUCCGAGGAGCAUGCCUGUUUGAGUGUCAUGAAUCCCUCAAACCCCUCAGGUUUUGAAACAAAAGCCUGGGCUUGGGUUUGGAUGUGUGGGUGCCCUGCCAUCUUGUAUGGCUCACCCCAAAUGCAUUAGCUGGACCCUUCCUGUAACCGGUUCCACUCAGCGUGAUAAGUCAUUCGCUGAGGACAGCGAGGCAAGCCCACUUGUGGGUGCGCCCCUGCUGGCCGGACUCGGGUUGCUUGGUCUGCUUACAGCCCCGUCGCAUGACGGAAAACCAUAUUCAAUGCUCUGGCCUCAAAUCAGGUAGGAUUACCCGCUGAACUUAA